rnacentral:lncRNA from 1 species
CAGUGGCACUACAAGAACGGAAUGGAGGAGGACCACCAGAACCCGAACCACCGGAGCAAAGACCCGGAUCACUGGAGCAGUGACUCGAACCAUCGGAGCAAAGAGGUUCGUGUUGUCGGUUCGUUUGGUCGGCUCUCUGUCGGUGGUUCUGUUCUGCAUGUUUCCAGGUACCGAUCCAGAUGAGGUUGUGUGAAGCGGACUCAUGUUUGAAGGUUCUGUUCUGGAGUUUAUGACGAGCCGGCCGCCAUUUUUUGCCCCGCGGUGAAACCUAGGCUGACGUCAUUCAGAUGAAGUGUAGAAUGAGUCCGUGCUGAUCGACUGCGGAUCGAUAUUCCGCGUCAACGGUCCCCGCGAACACAUUCAGUGUCCUGAUGACGUAACACGAACACGUGUCCCCGUCCGGCCGCCAUUUCCGCUCGAACUCAUGAGGUUUAGAGCAGAGAGAGAAAGAGUACCGACACUCUGUGAUGUCGCCGCCGGGCCAAACCUUUCCCCAAUGCAGAGCUAUUCAGUCACACACGUGCGAUCACACUGCAGUUGUCUAAGUUCUGAUCCGCCGCUCACAGCUCAGGUCACAACAACAGAAGAGCCGUCUGCGCUGAAAUGUUUGGACUUGUGGACCUUAGAGUGUCGUAACAAUGUGAACGACAUCAUAACAUCCUGAUAAACACACAUUAUCCACAAAAAAACUAGGAAUUACAUUUGUUUUAUUGUGUGUUGUGAAACAAUAAACAAAAAGUGUUUGUGCCUUUGGAAGCCAAACUGACAAAUGUGUGUCAGUUAAACUGUUAAAAUGAUUCAAAAAAGGUAAAAAAGCGUUUUAUGUCAUUUGACACUUUGUCUUUUAAUAGAAACACUGAUAUUGGAUAUUUGCUUUAUUGAUAUUUUGCGCCUCAGACUUUUACUUUCUGAGGUGUAAACUGACAAAUGUUCAGUGUUUUUUUUGUUUAUUGGUUCUGUUUAUCUUCGUCUGGUCUGGUUCUUUUGGACCUGGACGAAACCCUUCAAACUAAAGAGCAGAAACAUAAGACGACGUUAUAGAGAUGCUGAUUUUAAGUUGUGUUUUCAGUGAAAAUCUUAAAUGUUGUAGUUUCAACAGUCGAUUAUCGAUUAGGAAACUUGUUACUGUUAAAACAUCUCUUCUGUUUAAAUGAUUGUGCUUCAUUAAAUAAACGUUUACACAAUAUUUGUUGUGUACUUUGUUGUCUGGUGCCACACAAACAACCUGCAGCUCAACACCUCAAAGACUGAAGAACUGGUCAUUGACUUUGGGAGGGACAGACCCAAACCUAGACCAGUUCUGUUAGGAGCAGAGGAGGUGGAGGUCGUGGAGACCUAUAAAUACCUUGGGCCGUGGCUGGACAACAAGCUGGACUGGACGAGCAACACCAAGCAGCUGUAUAAGAAGGCUCAGAGCAGGAUGUACUUCCUGAGGAGGCUGCGAUCCUUUAACAUCUGCAGGAAGCUCCUGCGGAUGUUCUACCAGUCUGUGGUCGCCAGCGUUCUCUCCUAUGCUGUGGUGUGCUGGGGCAGGAGCACAUCAAAGGCAGAACUCCAGGUUGUGCCUUUAUUCCACUUAAUGAAGGUGCACUGUGAGAAUGUGACCCUACCACACGUUAGCGAAACCUUACCAGGACAUCAUUGAACAUAUCGUCAUAAAUGUGAAUAUUAUAGGCCUAUAUUACUGCUGUAUAAUAACUGUAGCCUACCGUCCACACACAAACACAUUGCUCCACCCGCGCAGAUAAUAAUCAUGUUAUAGUUUAACGUUAAAUGUUACUGAGACCGGCAGCAGAUGGUAGAGAACUGAGUAGAAAGGCAGACAGCAAACUAACACAGCGGACCGAGCCGCAGCCUGUCAGCCAGCUCCGCUCUCUCUCCUACUGUCAAACCAGCCUGCUCACCUGCUGCUAUCCUGGAGCAGAGACGGAGCACGAGUCUUAUUACCACAGCGUAGUACCACAGCCAACACUCCUGUAAGAUGACAUGAAAUGUCAGCUAAUGUUGCGACCACAAUUUUGAGUUAGCAUUAAUAACCUAAUGGCUACUCUUCUGGCUGUAACAAGUUAGCUAGCAUGACUUAACACAACCAGUCAGAAGGUAACAUGCCUGUCCUGUUUGAAUGGUAUUUGCCCAGACAUGGGUGCAGCGCCGCUAACAUCAGUUAG